AGCAGUCGCCACGGUAAUACGGAGGGUGCAAGCGUUAAUCGGAAUUACUGGGCGUAAAGCGCACGCAGGCGGUUUGUUAAGUCAGAUGUGAAAUCCCCGAGCUUAACUUGGGAACUGCAUUUGAAACUGGCAAGCUAGAGUCUUGUAGAGGGGGGUAGAAUUCCAGGUGUAGCGGUGAAAUGCGUAGAGAUCUGGAGGAAUACCGGUGGCGAAGGCGGCCCCCUGGACAAAGACUGACGCUCAGGUGCGAAAGCGUGGGGAGCAAACAGGAUUAGAUACCCGGGUAGUCCCUGUCUCUUAUAC
rnacentral:rRNA from 1 species